rnacentral:rRNA from 1 species
UAAGGAAUAUUGGACAAUGGGUGGAAGCCUGAUCCAGCCAUGCCGCGUGCAGGAAGAAGGUCCUAUGGAUUGUAAACUGCUUUUGCAGGGGAGAAAUAAGGGGAAUGCGUUCCCCGAUGAUAGUACCUUGCGAAUAAGCAUCGGCUAACUUCGUGCCAGCAGCCGCGGUAAGACGAAGGAUGCGAGCGUUAUCCGGAUUCACUGGGUUUAAAGGGUGCGUAGGCGGGGCUGUAAGUCACAGGUUAAAAACCGGUGCUUAACAUCGGGAGUGCCUGUGAUACUGCAGUUCUUGAGAGAGUCAGAAGUUGCUGGAAUAUGGCAAGUAGAGGUGAAAUUCAUAGAUAUGCCAUAGAACACCGAAAGCGAAGGCAGGCAACUAUGACUGCUCUGACGCUGAGGCACGAAAGCGUGGGGAUCAAACAGGAUUAGAUACCCUGGUAGUCCACGCUGUAAACGAUGAUGACUUGUUGUUUGGGGCGAAAGCCCUGAGUGACAAAGCGAAAGCGAUAAGUCAUCCACCUGGGGAGUACGCCGGCAACGGUG